rnacentral:rRNA from 1 species
UACAGAGGUCUCAAGCGUUGUUCGGAUUCAUUGGGCGUAAAGGGUGCGUAGGCGGCGCGGUAAGUCGGGUGUGAAAUCUUGGAGCUUAACUCCGAAACUGCAUUCGAUACUGCCGUGCUUGAGGACUGGAGAGGAGACUGGAAUUUACAGUGUAGCGGUGAAAUGCGUAGAUAUCGUAAGGAAGACCAGUGGCGAAGGCGGCAUCCUGGACCAACACUGACACUGAGGAGCGAAAGCCAGGGGAGCAAACGGG